GCAUGGUCAGCCCAGUCGGUAGAACACUAAGUUCUUAAUUUGGCUGUGGCGGGUUCGAGUCCCGCAUCGAGCU
rnacentral:tRNA from 1 species